ensembl:lncRNA
GGAAGAACAGUGAUUGGCCAGACUUUAAGGGUUAUGAAUCCCACGGACCAAUCACUGUAUGAGUGGAGGGGAGCAACCGCUGUGAUUGGCCAAGCCUGAGUCACAUGUCCAUCCCUGUGUCCUGGCAGUAGAAUAAGGCAAUGGCAGUCCCAGCAGUAUCGCAAGCUGAGAGUUGAGGAGGCCUGAGUAUUUCCUCAUCCUUCUAGCCCGACUUUGUCCUGGGCCCCUCAGAGGCCAGCUAAUGCAGAUGGAGCUCCAAGGCUGUGGGCAGCAUUGCGUGAAACUCUGCUUGGAACAGAAGGACAAGUGCCCAGAUCAGAUAUGAGUUCUUAUUGGCUAACCAUACUUCACACCAGAAUCUUGGAGGCACUGUUCUUCCUUGUUAAGGUUCUCACUAGAGGGCCAUUUUCUGCAAUCAAUCCGCUCGACAAACACUGGUGGAGCUCAGCUAUAACCCAAACCUGGGAAGCCGGUCAGGGAAUGGGGGACAGAGGGAGUCACUGAAUUCCUGGCCCAAGAAGCCAGGCCCCAGCCUGGACACGGCAGCUUGGCAACGUGACCCGCUUCUCGCCAGGGCCUGCACGGAAGGGAGGCUGAGACCCCAGCGCCAGCCCCGCCUCCUGCCCCGGAGACCGCACAGCCGCCUUUCCCGGACUCUGACUUUUGGAUCCUCCAAUGGGCCUCCCAUCAGUUUGGCCUCGGACCAGCCUGAGCGGAGGCUGCUGUCUCCUCAUGGCCCAACCCCACCACGCCUCCCUCCUCUCGCCACUCCCACCCUGAGACAAUGCGACAACGCUCUGCUGCACAACACAGAUGGGCCCGACCGCACUGGCAGUCCUGAGGCCGUCAUGGAAAGAAACCAAGAGGGAACAAGAGGCACAGUGCGUGCCCAGCCCCACCUCGGCCCUGGAACGUGAGCCGGAGGCCUGCGCAUGCGAUCACAGAGGAGAACGCGCCGGAACACAACGCAGCCCUGCCCUUCUGCAAACGACCAGAGCCCGCGGCCACACACGGCAGACCCUUCCCCGCUCCCUUGCAGACAGCAGUGUUGGCCAGGCUCCCCAAGCUUGAGCUCUAUCAAAAAGAUCCAGGAGGGAACUUGUUGACCCUCGGACUGUGCUCUCGGCCCAAGAAGAGAGCCCAAACUGGCAACCGUUCUCACCAUAUGCGGCCAAGGAGCCCUGGCGCAGAGAAAAAGGAGGACCUAGGGGGAGCCACGCUUAGGGCAGCCCCGGGUGUGCCUCUUAAGAGGAGUGGGCCUUAAGGACUUGAUAACUUGUCUCAAUCUCCUUUUCCAUAUCUGUAAAAUGAGCCUAAUGACACCCCACCGGCUGACUAUAUUAAAGGAGAAAAUAAGC